GCAAGACUCAGGUUUUCCUUUCUGCUCCACCAACCUUACCAUGUUGGAUUUCUUCCUUGUGCUUGUUGCCUCAUGGUGGCAAGGUAGCUGCAGCACCUCUGGACACAUUUUUAAGGCUAUGACCCAGUAGCUGAUUCUUGCUAAGCUUGCAAUGAUCUUGCAAAGAUCAAUACGGACAGCCACUCCAUUACUGGACUCACAGUUUAGAAGAGAAAAACCAAACACAGAUAAAACUGAGAUCAUCCUCACUCCCUCUCUCCUUCCCUGGAGAGAAAAAGAGUAUGGAUUUCUCUCUAUACUGCUCAACAUGGCAAAAGACCCUGAGUUACUGGAAUUAAUGGGAAGACUGGAGCAGCUCUGGAUAAGACACCAGUGAGAGCCUGCCUUACAGAAGCCCUGCGGCACAGACAAGCUCCUAGGAGCCUGAAGCUCCUCCAGGACCCGGAGGGACCGGUCUGCACAGGGGAAUGUGUGUCCUCAACCCAUCUCAUCAUAUCAUCCAGGAAACUUCACCUCUGAGCAGCCCAGACCUUCUCACGAGGCUUCUUACUGCUCCCAGAUCCUCCUUCUGAAGAAAUCACCAGCCUCCCGUGGGGUCACAAGGCUUUAGUAACCAGGAACUAAACAGCAUGGAAAUGUGAUGAAUCGCAUGGAGGCAAAACAGGACCACAGCAGUACCUGCUGUUAUCAAAGCCAGAUCAAAGUGCUGCCUGCUUGGUCGUCUUUCAGUUACCCAGGCUAUUGGUGGGUAUGAGGUGGGGGAG